AUGUCUUUGACGUGCAUAGUGCUAGAGACUAUAUGAUUAAAAAAUAAUGCUUUUGCAAAAAGGUAAAUAACUUUGUGCCACAAAUGGAUUUGUUCAACAUUUGAAUAGCUUUGGGACUUGUUAAAUUCUUGACAAGAGAAAGGUGAUAUGAUAAAUCCAAAAGAUUAUUUCCAGGUUAUCGUAACUUGGCAAUUAUGUGUGUAAGAAUUCUCAAAUUUGCAUCCUCAAAAUUUUUUAUUGCCAUUUUUUCUUAAGGCCAUUUCCUUUGGAUUCUAUUAAUGUGACUGAGAAGAAAUCUGUUGGAGAAAUUAUAGCAAGAGUAAAAGCAACAGAUUGAGAUGAAGAUAGCAGUAUCAUUUAUUCCUUUAAGACUCAGCAGAAAAUGUUUGGUUUGGACCCCUCCACAGGAACAAUCACUCUUCUUCCAGCCUUUGAAUCUUGACAACCCAAGUAACUCCAAAAUCUACUCUUUGGAAAUUGAGGCAACAAAUAAUGGGAAUAAUACCAGCAGCUAUAUGUUUACAGUUUUUGUGGAGAAUGUAGAUGAUCCUAUUUCCUGUGAUCCAAGUUUUUCUACAGGAGCAGGUGUUUCAGUGUCUGUUCCUGAAAAUAUUCCUGCAUCUACUUUUAUAUAUAUGAUUCUUUCAAGAGAUCCAGAUCUAGGACAGGAAGUUGAAGUAAGUUUUUUUUUUAAUUUUCAUCUAUUUAUUUUUGCCCAACUUGGAUGAAAAAAAAAAAAAAAACCCCAAAAGAGUGCUCAAUUUUUAAUGUACAAAAUAUUAUCUUGCUAGGCUGUUGAUUAAAGUGUGCUUCAUAUGUAUGGUAGUCACUGAAGUGAGAGAGGAGACUUAAACCUUUCGAUGUAGUAACAUAGAAUUAAAAUGCUCUGGCUUUAAAAUGAAAGCAACAGAUAUCAAAUGGUCUGAAAGCAUUGUGAAAAACUAGAGCUUACAUCUAUUGGCAUUUAUUUGAUGACAUUUAUGAGCAUAAAUAGAAUGUUCUUUCAUUGUUCAUUGCCUUUUAUUCAUCCCAAUCAGGCAUAUUUUCUUUACUAUACAUACAAUGUGAGUAAAGGAUAUUUUAGGUCUUCAUAUUAAUUCUGGUUUUAGUAAUAAUUCAUAAAGAGGAGAGAAUAAAUUUUAGAUGAUAAAAUGGUUACAGCUUAAGUGGGGGUAAAGAAGAAAUUUAAGGUUAUUCAUCACUGUAUACUUUCUCAGAAAUUUUUCUGGUAUACAUAUGACCUAUAAUCUAAUUAUAUUGGUAAGAAAAAAAUUGUUUAUUGAUGGUGCAAUAUAUCAUAAAUCUGAUUAAUACACUGCAAUACUCUGCCCUAAAUUUAGUGAGUCAAAUUCUCCAUAGAAGAAACUAACUUUUUUUCUGUUUGUUCAUGCUUGCUAUAGUGAUACACUUACAAAUAUCACUUGGGAAUAUGGUUGAAACUAAAAAGUUUGGGAGAAAACUCUGUGGAGAAUUUAGUCUAUAUAUAAUUUUUCUGGUUACCUGAUUAUAAUGAGAUAUUGAUUAAUACGCUUGAUUACAUUUUUUGCUCAUGUGAAUUUCAGAGUGAGGACAGACGACAACACAGGAACAAUGUAAUUCCUGGUAUACCAGGCUCAGCUCAUCUAUUUGUGUGAAUGUGUUAGUGUGUGUGUUGGGAGGAUAAGAGUCAGGAUAUUGGGGUAUGUGGAUGUGUGCAUUUAAACUAGAAUAUGUCCAUAUGUGUGGUGGAUGGGUGUCUACAAUAGUAUCAGUUAUAUUUAUGUGUCUACGUGCAUAGCUUCCAUUACCAAAAAUUAAUGUAAUAUCUAGAUUUUAUUGUAAAAGUCAUUAGGAAAGAGAAAACAAAAAUUUGGAAAAUGAUGAUUAACCAUAAUGGGAAAAACAAAGAGAUUAUUUUCAUAAGGAUAUUUAAGAAGAUUUUAGUCUAAUAUAAGCCAACUUUGGUUGUUCGCUUACAGGCAAAUGAAAGAUGGUUAAUAUAACCAUCAAAAUGGCUAUUAUGCAUUUUUUGGAAAUGGCAUUGAGUAUCAAAUCUCCCAGGUUUUAUUGGGGUUUUUUUAUGGGCUGGAAUCUGGAUGUAAGUGUUUACAGUAUAAUUUCUUUAUGAAAUCCUUUUCAAAAUCUUUAAUAUUUGUUUUGAUAACAAUGGAGAGAAACAUGCCGAUGCCCAUAAAAGUAAUAGCUUUGUGCAAGGCAAUAUUUUAUUUUUGCCAUACAGAAAAUCAAUUCAGAGAUGAAAUCAAAUGGCUUUUUCCAAAUAAUUCGGUGCCUCCUUUAGAUAUACUUCCUCCUUUAGAUAUCCUCUUUUAGAUAUAUUCAAGAGGGAACAGCUUUUUUUUUAUAUUGGAAAAAUCUAUAAAUGCAACACUUGAAAGUAAACUAUGAAAUUAUUGAAAACUAUUCACCAAAAAUGCUCUAAUAUUUUAGUAUAAAAUGCAUUGGAAAAAAUACAACUAAAAUGUGAAAGAAUAUGUAGAUUAUUUUUGAAGUCUGGAACUGAAAGUGAGUUCAGAUUUUAAUUUAUAGGCACUGUCUUCACAAAAUUUAUUUUGGUUUACACCUUGCCAAAUCAUUUCAUCAAAGCUGUCAGUUCAGGAUUCAUGC
ensembl:lncRNA